UUUCAAAUAAAUAGCAUGCAAGACAAACGUUACACACCAAAAGUCCCAACUAUUUUCAUCCACACAAACAAGUAACAACAUCUAUGCACACAUCCAUAUCCUCUCCAACAUUAAACUCAAAAUACAUAUUGUUCAUUUUUCUAGCAUCAUACUCUCCACUCCCACUACCCAAAGUUCCUUGUUUAGUGUCAAGAUUAGUUAUUGACUUGUUGUAACCCUAGCUCUUAAUCUCUAGUCUCAACUUAAAAAAACCUCACAAAACAACCUCAUUAUUAAAAAUCCAACUAAACUUAACCCCAUGUGGUUUCAUCUUACGAGCACGUGCAUCAGCCCUCUCUUGCAACCUUCUAAUCCUAGGUGCUAACCCACACACAAAAUCCUGCGCCCUUUUUCCCUCACCCGUUAAUCCUUCAAGCUUCUCCAAUCUCCACCGUUCGAUUAAAAACUCCAAGAUAUCAGCGUAAUCAUUGGCCGUGUAAACUCCGGUGCGUUGUGCCACGGCUGCGAAGUGCUCGAAUAGCUUGGGGUCUUGUCCAUCAUACAUAAGGUGUGCCGGCAUUGUGAUUUUUUUCUCCAUCAUAUCACCAAUGGCUAGCAUUGCUCCUGUGGGGUCCACUUCUAGAAGCUUCUCGACGAUUUUUGAGUAUGCGUUCUCGUGACGCUUUUCAUCAGCUGCGAUGGUACCACAUAUGCGCGCAAGCACUGGAUCACCGCCUUCUUUCGCUAAGCGAGCUGUGUUUCCGUGUGAUACAAAUGUUGCUCGUUCUUGGAAUGAUGUGUAUACGAACCCCAAGUAUGGGUUGUUUUCUGUCCCGGGGUCCUGUCCAAUGCAAACAAAAUACAAUGUAGACAUAAUUUUCAACUUAGA
rnacentral:lncRNA from 1 species